rnacentral:rRNA from 1 species
UACGGAGGGUGCAAGCGUUAUCCGGAUUCACUGGGUUUAAAGGGUGCGUAGGCGGGCAGGUAAGUCAGUGGUGAAAUCUUUGGGCUUAACCCGAAAACUGCCAUUGAUACUAUCUGUCUUGAAUAUUGUGGAGGUUUGCGGAAUAUGUCAUGUAGCGGUGAAAUGCUUAGAUAUGACAUAGAACACCUAUUGCGAAGGCAGCAAACUACGCAUAUAUUGACGCUGAGGCACGAGAGCGUGGGGAUCAAACAGG